rnacentral:rRNA from 1 species
UACGAAGGGGGCUAGCGUUGUUCGGAAUUACUGGGCGUAAAGCGCGCGCAGGCGGUCUUCCAAGUCAGUGGUGAAAGCCCGGAGCUCAACUCCGGAACUGCCAUUGAAACUGUUGGACUUGAGUACGAGAGAGGUGAGUGGAAUUCCCAGUGUAGAGGUGAAAUUCGUAGAUAUUGGGAGGAACACCGGUGGCGAAGGCGGCUCACUGGCUCGUAACUGACGCUCAGGCGCGACAGCGUGGGGAUCAAACAGG